AACGUGUUUGCUUACAGUUGCUUAUUUACACAUCCAGCAGUUAGGGAGCAACAUCAUAAUUCAUUUGGAGUUGCUGUUUCUGGUCA